AGAGUUUUGAUCCUGGCUCAGAUUGAACGCUGGCGGUAUGCUUAACACAUGCAAGUCGAACGGUAACGGACCGCUGUGAUCCCUUCGGGGUGAACUUGGUGCCGACGAGUGGCGGACGGGUGAGUAAUACUUAGGAAUCUGCCCAGUAGUGGGGGACAACACGAGGAAACUCGUGCUAAUACCGCAUACGCCCUAAGGGGGAAAGUGGAGGAUCUUCGGACUUCACGCUAUUGGAUGAGCCUAAGCCGGAUUAGCUUGUUGGUAGGGUAAUGGCCUACCAAGGCGACGAUCCGUAGCUGGUCUGAGAGGACGAUCAGCCACACUGGGACUGAGACACGGCCCAGACUCCUACGGGAGGCAGCAGUGGGGAAUAUUGGACAAUGGGGGCAACCCUGAUCCAGCAAUACCGCGUGUGUGAAGAAGGCCUGCGGGUUGUAAAGCACUUUCAGUAGAGAAGAAAAUCUUAGGGUUAAUACCCCUGGGUCUUGACUUAACCUACAGAAGAAGCACCGGCUAACUCCGUGCCAGCAGCCGCGGUAAUACGGGGGGUGCAAGCGUUAAUCGGAAUUACUGGGCGUAAAGCGCGCGUAGGCGGUCUGGUCAGUCGGAUGUGAAAGCCCCGGGCUCAACCUGGGAAUUGCAUUCGAUACUGCCCGACUAGAAUAUGGAAGAGGGAAGUGGAAUUUCCGGUGUAGCGGU
rnacentral:rRNA from 1 species